CAUGAUUCAUGAGCGACACUCGACUCUGCAAGAAAUUUGCUGAUGUGUGUUACAUGUCACAAUGAUGAAAUUGGUGAUGAUAAUGGAGAUGACGAUGUUUGUUUUUUAUUCUCUUUAAAAGGAUUUUUGACGUACAGUUGUUGUAAACAUACCUCCAUACACCCCAGCUGUUUCUCUAGCACAGUAAUCCGACGUGCUUUAGACUCGACGUCUCCCUUUGCUUGCUGCAAUAUCAAACUUAUCAAAGCAAGAUGCUGCACCUCUUCGAAUGCUGCUGUGUCUUUGGCAAAUAGCUCUCGAUAAAGGCACUGGAUAAGCAGUUUUACUUAUUAUUAAUAAAACCACCCCUGUAAGGCAGCCAAUUUUUCGACAGAUUACUGGAGUGUGUUGUUUUUAGUGGCCAUAAAAUUAAAUGAUUGUCUCAAAAUAAGUCUAUGAUAAAUAUUAAAGGGGACAAUAACAAAUU